ensembl:snRNA RNU6-850P RNA, U6 small nuclear 850, pseudogene
GUGCUCAUUUCUGCAGCACAUAUACUGAAAUUUCGAAGGUUACAGGGAUUAGCACGGCCACUGGGCACGGAUGACACAAAUUCAAGAAGCGUUCCAUAUUGGG